rnacentral:rRNA from 1 species
CCUACGGGAGGCUGCAGUGGGGAAUAUUGCACAAUGGGGGAAACCCUGAUGCAGCGACGCCGCGUGAAGGAAGAAGUAUUUCGGUAUGUAAACUUCUAUCAGCAGGGAAGAAAAUGACGGUACCUGACUAAGAAGCCCCGGCUAACUACGUGCCAGCAGCCGCGGUAAUACGUAGGGGGCAAGCGUUAUCCGGAUUUACUGGGUGUAAAGGGAGCGUAGGCGGCGAUGCAAGUCAGAAGUGAAAGCCCGGGGCUCAACUCCGGGACUGCUUUUGAAACUGUAUGGCUAGAUUGCAGGAGAGGCAAGUGGAAUGCCUAGUGUAGCGGUGAAAUGCGUAGAUAUCAGGAGGAAUACCGUUAGCGAAGGCGGCAAUCUGGCUGGAAACUGACGCUGAGGUGCGAAAGCGUGGGUAGCAAACAGGAUUAGAUACCCCUGUAGUC